GGAAAGGGGAGAGAAGAGACAAGGGGAGGAGAGAAAAGAGGGGAAGGAAGGGGAGGACAGACGAGAGGAGAUCCAGAGCCAAACCUGGGGCCAUCUGUCCUUGCCAGAUCAGGGAGAGGAGAAGCCAGUGAGGGGACAGUGAUAUAGGAGCAGUGUGGGAGAUUCUGGAAACCAGACAGAAGCUGAAUCACAUGCUGCCAGUGGGUCACAUCAAAUAAGGCCUCGGAGCUGGCCUCAGAUUUAACUUCAUGGAGGUCAUCAGUGACCUUGACCUGAAUCGCUUCAGGGAAGUACAGAAAUUAAGCCUGAUUAGAGUAGGUUCAAGAGCAAAUGGGAGAGAAAGAUUUGGAGGCAGCAAGGAUAAGUAACCUUCUGUCAGGUUUUUGUUAAUAAAUGAGGAGCAGAGAAAUGGGGCAGUCACUACGAGGGAGGUGAGGUUGAGAGAGAGAACAGAGAGCCACCCACCUCUGUGGUAAUAGCAAAGAAAAUCCAACGCUUCUGCCUGAGGCAGAGGGUGGCUUGGGUGUGGCUGAGUAAGAUAGAAGGGCAGGCAGCUAGCCUUGGAUGGGAGGGCAGGUGACCAGAGUCAGUGAUGGAGAGGGAACAAUUCCUAAGUCCUCCUAUGAUGGCUUCAGUGGGGGGGGGGGGGGGGCUCACAGCCAGCUGUGCUGAGGAAGGGCACACAGAAAGAAGGCAUCUGGCUGUUGCUAGGAGAGAGACCAGGCAACCAAGGAAGUAGUCAGGGGCCUGGCCUGGUGGAGGCACCCGGCAGGCAGCUGUUAAGAAAAGAGAGUGAAGUCCAGAUUAAUGGACACAAACAAGGGUGGGGUGGCAUGGGGAGGGGGUUGCCAGGCAAGGACAGGAGAAAGGCUGACCGGGUGGGAGGUGAGUGAGAUGAAGCUGGGAAUGCAGGGAGAUGGCUAAAAACCAAGGGUGUGUUCCCCCCAAGUGGGGAGCUUCCUCAAGGGAGCAGAACAGAGAGGAAUCCCCAAGAUGGAUGUAGAGGAGCUAUAGUGUGCAUGCUGACCAGGCCUUGACUGAAUGGAAGGAAUGGAUGGCUUGGAGCAGAUGAAAGAGGUCAGGGGAAGGGAAGAAGUCAACCGGACGGAUGGGAAAAGUCAGUGAACGGAGAGGGUGGUGUCUCCACUGGGGCAAAGGGGUUGAGGGCCUGGAGUCCUAGAGGAUUUUAAGGAGGUGUGGCCAGAACAAAGAAGGCCUGUCUACUCUUCUCCAGGAGGGAAUCCUAGAGCAAAGCAGAGAGAGGGAGCAGGAAGGAACGAAGAAGACAAGACUGAUGCCCUCAGCUUUAGAAAGUGGGCUCUACCCCCACUUCCUGGAGGCUAUCGGGACUGCUGCUCCCUGUCUCCACAUUCGCAGACACCCACCCACCCCCUUAUCACUCAUAUUUCCCAAGUGUCUCACCUGGAGUGGUGACAGGGGGCGGAGGCAGACCAGCGGGGCUAAGGUCCCCAGAACAAGGAGAAGCCAUGUCAGAAGCCAGGGUCCCACUUCUGUUUACUUGGCUUCCCAGGAGACUGGGAAGGGCCUUCUGGAAGACAGAACCUUGCGUUUAAAGGGGCCCCAUCUGGAAAAGGGUUGGGGUCCGAGGACAGGGGUCAAGAGAGCCAGAAGGCACCUACAUAUUGUCUUGUCUCAGCUCACUCUAGUAUUCACAUCCCAGUCUGGGCCCACAGGGCCACUGAGAACUUGAUUCCCCUCAGCCACACUAGCCAGGCAUGGACACCGCAGGAGUGUUCCUAGAGCCCAGGAGCCAGAUCGUUCUCUCCAAACUUGAACCAGACUAAGUCUCCUGCUUCAAGAAGCCUUUGUGGACUUGUAUUUCCCUCUCCCUCCCCAUCAAUGGACACAGCAUCAGUAGAGAGACCAAGGAUAUGGGGCUGGGGCUGGGGCUGAAAAGGUAGGACUCUCCAGCAGGAGAGUGGGCAGCAGGUCUCCCUUCAUUCAGGAGCACUGGGCACUGUGGCAUAGCCUUCCUGUGGUGCCACCCUUAGCAUUCAUGGUCCAGAAACUAGCCAUCAUUCCUGAAAGAGGCUGGAAGGUAUGGCUCUCCUCCAUAUAUGCCUGCAGGCUGUAGAAACCAAGACAACUUCAGAAGAAAUGAAUGUCCAUGUUUGUAGCUGGGUCUAGGGCCUGGAAGAGAGAAGACCCAAGCUCCAGCCACCAUGUGAGAAAGCUCACUGUCGGGCUAUUUGUUACACGGCCAAACUGACUGAUACAGCAGCACUGCAGUGGGAGAAUGGGGCCAGCUUUGUGGAAGAGUAGCCCUAUUUAUCAUGCCACCACCACCACAUCUGCAUUUUCACAGCUCCUGCAGUGCCUUGCCAUCCUCUGCAGGGCAAGCACACUCUUGUCCUUCAGGUACCAUUCUCUGCCCCCUUCCAAGAUGCACUUGUAGUCUUUCCUGCAUCUCCAAGCCCACAGGGCCUUCAAGGGAAGUCACCUGUCUGAAUUAGUUCCUCCCUUGACUUCUGUGGGCCUCGUGCAUCGUGGUAAGGAGUGUGUCUUGCUCUAGGCAGGCCAUACUAGGACCGUGCCCUUUCCUCCAUUCAGUCACAGUGAGAGGGCUGAAUACCCUCCCGGUCCCCAAACAGUCACAGCAGGAGGUGAAACGCAAUGUGUUCCCAUGACUUCCCUGCCUCUUAGGGAGUGCUGGUCCUGGGUGGAGCCACCCAUGACGCUCCACUCCAACAGAGCUUUGGUUCUGUGCCCCAUGUGCAUGAGCCCCACAUACAUAAGCUUGGUCCACCCUCAGUGCCACAUCAGUGUGCCACCCUGUUCAUCUUCCAAAGCCAUGAGCCAGUAGCCCCCAUCCUUCCCCAGCCCCAGCAGCCCCUGCUCCCCAUUGCUGGGAGGUCCACUGACUUCAGAUAUUUUGUAGGAAUGAGAGCAGCUGUGGUAGCUCUUUUCACUUAGCACAGUGUCUUCAGGGGCAACCACACACCCAAGACAUCAGCUUUCCUCCUUGUUAAAGGCUGGAUGGUAUUCCUCUGGGUGCCUAGUCAUGCGUCCCCAUCCAUUCAGUCGUAGAUGGAUGAAGGCUGCUCCCACACCUUGGCCUUGAGGCAGCUGCUGCAAGCAAGGAGUAAUACCUCAUGAGAUCCUAAUCUUGAUGUUUUUGGAUCUGUGCCCAGAAGGCCAAUUACUAUAUCAUAUGGCGAUGCUAUUUUUAAUUUUCUGAGGAACCUCCAUACUGUUUCCUUUACUGGUUGCACCAUGUGGCAUUUCACCCACAAGGCAGGAGCGUUCCCCUCCCCCACAUCCCUGACAGUCUGUCCUGAUAGGUGAGAACUGACAGAUCACCAGGGCCCUGAUGGCACUGCCUGGGUUUCUGGUGAUGGAGGCACCUGUUCGUGUACCCACUGGCCCAGUGUCUGUCUGCUCUGGAGAAUGUUACCCUGCCCGGCCCUUUCAUUGGGUUUUUCUGUCUGCUGAAUGUUUUCUUUUACUGUUUGGCUGUAGCCCCUUAUCAGAAAGAUGGUUGCCAGUACCUUUUUCCCCUGGAGGGGGAGAGGGAGAUGGGGGGGAGAGCUGCUUUUUUGUUUUGCUGUUUUCCGUGCUUUGCCAAGGUGUUUUGCUUGAAAACUGUCUUGCCCAUCUAUCUCCUUUUUCACCUGUGUUUUUGGUCUCAUAUCCAGGGAGAUCAAUGACAAGCCACUUGACCCCUAAAGGUCUUGCAAUUCCCAGCCUGAGCGGAUGUCUCUGGAGGGUAUGAGCUGGCCAAAGGGACUGCACUAUGCUGCUGAGAAGAGGGGUGCAGACACAUGCCUGGCCCCUCCAUCAGCAAAGCAGCUCCUCCAUCCUCCUCCCACUGGGCCCAGCACAGUUCAAGGAUCUGCGGCCCAACAGCUCAGGGGAACCAGGGCUGGCUUCCCAGAGGACAAGAAGACGUAGGAACGUGUACAGCGUUUCCUUCUGAAGGGAGCAAAUUCCAGGGCGCAGGAGUUGCAGGAGGGAAAAAAACGCAUCGCUAGAACGUUGAGGGCUUGGGAAAAGCAGAAGGUAGGCCUGUCCUAAUGUGGGUCAGGUUCCUCUGCUAAUGGAGCCAGUAUGCAAGGGGUUGGUAGUAGCUCUCGAGGCAAAACCACCCCAAGUCUACUACCCUGAGGAGGUAAGAGGCUGGACUCCCAGCCUGUAACUGCACGAGGAGGGCGCUAUUAGGGAAGCAGCUCGCUACAGGGGCUCCAAGGCUGGACAGCAGGCUCAGAGGAGUUCCAGCCUUCAUACCCCCUCCUCAUAACUCCCCCCACUGCAGCCUUCUGAUCACAGUCCUGUCUGUGACCACAGCGCCACCUACUGGCUGCACGGGGGAGCCAAGCAGGUGAGACACUUGAGGUAAGAAGGGGAGCCUAGUACCCUGGAAAGAGGGUACCCGGUGGCCAUGACGCCUCACGCCCACUUGUUUAGUGGCUUGAGUUUGCAUCCUGCUUCUGCCGCUGACAGCUGUGUGACCUCGACCAAUGUAUGCCCCGCUCUAAAUUUCAUCCCAGACCAGGACCGUGGGCACAUCUGACCUUUGGAUGACAUGAGCAAGAGAUGACCCCCACUAGACAGCGUACCUCUGUCUGACAGAAGCUGGUCGGUGCUCACAGGCAGACUGAAACAAGCAUGGCAUAGCCAGGAGCACGGCCGAAUUCAGGUCCUCAUAAACACCAAGGAUGCUCAUGACUCACACAAAGUCGCCGGUACGGUUUCCCACCCACACAGGUAUGGCGUACAGUAACGGUCUCAGCAGAGAGGACGAUGACACAGCCACAAACCCCAGAAGGGACAGGUGUGGGAACUUGUGAUACUCUGCUGAAGCUUCCUGUGGCUUUAUUUAGCAACCAACCCGCAAAAUUUCUGAAAAUUCAGGACUCACGAAGCCUGUUGCCCUGGCUUCCACACACCCUUGGUCAAGGGCUCCAGAUAGGAAAUGGUGAUCAGGCCCCAGGAUCCACCACACACAGAAGCCACAGAACCAGCUAUGCCGUGACCUCCCUCGUGAAUGGGAGGUAAGGAGUUGUGAGCCUCCUGAAACAGACCUGGGGUCCUGACUCUGCCAGAGGCAAAACUCAUGGCCUGGGGCUCAUGAGCAUCAGGAAGUCUGAACUGACAAGAUCAAGGUAUCAGCCUACACCAUGUCAGCUAAGGGUCUCUUUCUGGUUGCAGACGGUUCCUUCUCGGGGUGUCCUUGCAUGGUAAGGGCCCUUGGGCCUCAUUCACCUGGUUACCACUUCCAGGCUUUUGUCCUAGGCAGGAAAACUAAACUAGGGCAAUCAUGGGGUCUAGCAGGUCGGAGCCAGGGCCUCUUACAGCAGACUCUGAAGCAAAGGUGACCAGUCCUCAGUCUCCAGGGACUUCGCCCAGACCACUGGCCUUUGCAGGCGUCAUCCACGCAUGCAGUCUCAAAAGAUGUCGAUGGGUCACACCUGGCUUUUCUCUCCACCUUCCUCGGGCACUCCAGCCGCCAGAGCUGUCUUGAUCAUUCCAGAAGAGCAGACCCCAAACCCUCAAGCUGUCUACACAGGCUGACCCUCAGUACUUCAGCCCAAUAUCUCCAGCCCAAUAUCCUCAACUUACAGGGCAGCUGCACCUCCCCCCCCAGGCCUGUCUUCCUGCUUUGCAUCCCACAUUUUGUUGGUGAGAGUGAGCCCCGGGAGCCCCCAAGGUUGAGCACUGUGGCAGCCAUCACUAUCAGCCAGGUCUGCCAUUGCUGCCAUCUCCUGCAUCCUAUUGCUGGACUGGGAUGAUGUCCACCAUUUGUCGACAGAACCGAGAUGUUCCUAGCCUGUCCAGGCACUGUGCUGGAGUGCUGUGUCCUCACUGAGCCUCAGAGCAGUGCAGGAGCUUGGUAGAUGUGCUCCCAUUUCACAGGUGGGGAUACUGAGGCACAAAGAGGUUGAAUGCCAACACGAAGCCACAGGGUCAGUAAAUGGGAAGGCUGAAUUUGGUGUGGGGCAGUUUGCUUCUCCCUGUACUUGGAACCUCAGGCUGGCCUCACUCCAAGAGCCGUGUCCUUGAGAGGAUUUGGGUAGGGGGAGGUAUCUAUGCAACAGCACCCAGACAGGAGGGCAUAGCACCCCAUGUGCUCACCUGGAGCCCUCGAAAGCAGUCACAGCCCCAGCCUAGGCCCUACUAUCACCACAGGGUCCUGGACUCAUAUAACAGAUGUUCCACUUAGCCACAAGUCACAGAGAAUGCCAAUGAUCUAAGGAACCAAGAGACGGACAGGAGGCCUCCAUGGGGAUAGAUGUCCUCAUUGCAUGUGUAGCCCAAAGCACACUUCCCCAACCUACCAUCCUCAGACAGUGCUGGCUCCACAAUACUGUCCCUGGAAGGGUGCUGUGGAUACUGGAGCCAUUGUGACCUCAGGGUGAGGUCAGGGCCACUCAAGGCACCAGAUAAGGGACAAUGCCCAGGAUGGAACUAGCCUGUCGGUGAGGAUAGGGCUGGAAACUGAGACCUGUAGGUCUCCUGCUCGGAACCCCGACAUGGAUGGGCAGCCUCCUGACAGGCCACUCAGCCGAAUCUCCAUUGAUGCUACGUCAUCAGCCAUGUCCCACAACCCCAGUCUGCAGGCGUGUUUAUCCUCUUCAACUAUGGACCCAAGGAGCAGCCUAGAACAGGCCCUCUCCUUGGGAAGUGUGUGGAACUGAGGACAAGCAGAUACUAUCUUGAUGCAGAGAACAGAAGCGAAGAUGGAGCCAUGGAAGCACUAGACUUUGGCAACAUCCAAAGCAAGAGUGCCCUUUUUUUUUUUUUUUUUUUUUUUUUUGCCCCUUCAUGGCAACUGCCAGUCCAGGGAAAUACAUUUCACCCUUUUGCAAAACAUAAAGACCUUCAUCAUCUGUGCCCUUACCGCUACUGCCCACUUAAAAACCUUCUCAAGGGAUAUCUGGGUAGGCAGGUUAUCGCCUAUGCUGCUUUGAAAAGCCUGGCUAUCCAAGUCAAUAUCAGAGAUAAAGCUGGCAUGAGACAGUCUGAGCCCUUCUGGACUCCUAGUGUGCCUGUCUACCACCCUGCUGGGCCUGGCUGCCUACUCCAGGCCUUCAACUUCUCCACUCAUAAGAACAUUUUGCCUAAGAAACUUUUUAUGAGACUCCAUGGAUACAAAUGUAUGCAAUAAGCAUACAAGCCAAACAUCUGCAAAGAUAUGUUUAUACAAUGGGCAUACAAGUCAAACACUGGCUGAUCAUAAAACCAUAAAGCAAUUUAUCUUAAUCAAUUUUUUGGUGUGUAGGAUCUUAACCAUUUAUUAAAGAUGAAAGCAAAUUGGUUACUAAU